GUCCCUGUAGCUUAGAGGCAAAGCAUGGCACUGAAGAUGCCAAGACGGUCCGACAAACACACCCAAGGACA
rnacentral:tRNA from 1 species